AGCAGCCGCCACGGGAAUACAGAGGGUGCGAGCGUUAAUCGGAUUUACUGGGCGUAAAGCGUGCGUAGGCGGCUAAUUGAGUCGGAUGUGAAAUCCCCGAGCUUAACUUGGGAAUUGCAUUCGAUACUGGUUAGCUAGAGUGUGGGAGAGGAUGGUAGAAUUCCAGGUGUAGCGGUGAAAUGCGUAGAGAUCUGGAGGAAUACCGAUGGCGAAGGCAGCCAUCUGGCCUAACACUGACGCUGAGGUACGAAAGCAUGGGGAGCAAACAGGAUUAGAGACCCGCGUAGUCCCUGUCUCUUAUAC
rnacentral:rRNA from 1 species